rnacentral:rRNA from 1 species
AGCUGAUCCAGCAUGCCGCGUGUGUGAGAAGGCCUUCGGGUUGUAAAGCACUUUUGUCCGGAAAGAAAUCCUUGGCUCUAAUACAGUCGGGGGAUGACGGUACCGGAAGAAUAAGCACCGGCUAACUACGUGCCAGCAGCCGCGGUAAUACGUAGGGUGCGAGCGUUAAUCGGAAUUACUGGGCGUAAAGCGUGCGCAGGCGGUUUGCUAAGACCGAUGUGAAAUCCCCGGGCUCAACCUGGGAACUGCAUUGGUGACUGGCAGGCUAGAGUAUGGCAGAGGGGGGUAGAAUUCCACGUGUAGCAGUGAAAUGCGUAGAGAUGUGGAGGAAUACCGAUGGCGAAGGCAGCCCCCUGGGCCAAUACUGACGCUCAUGCACGAAAGCGUGGGGAGCAAACAGGAUUAGAUACCCCCCUAGUCAGA